GGUGACUCAGUGAUAGAGUGCUUGCCUUGUAUGCAUGAGGCCUGGGUUCAAUUCCUUAGCACCA
rnacentral:tRNA from 1 species